UGUUCUGUAGCUUAGUUGGUUAAAGCGCCGGUCUAGCGUACACGGAGUCGUGAGUUCGAGUCUCACUAAAACGC
rnacentral:tRNA from 1 species